GGGGGGAACCCUGAUCCAGCCAUGCCGCGUGUGUGAAGAAGGCCUUAUGGUUGUAAAGCACUUUAAGCGAGGAGGAGGCUACUUUAGUUAAUACCUAGAGAUAGUGGACGUUACUCGCAGAAUAAGCACCGGCUAACUCUGUGCCAGCAGCCGCGGUAAUACAGAGGGUGCGAGCGUUAAUCGGAUUUACUGGGCGUAAAGCGUGCGUAGGCGGCUUAUUAAGUCGGAUGUGAAAUCCCCGAGCUUAACUUGGGAAUUGCAUUCGAUACUGGUGAGCUAGAGUAUGGGAGAGGAUGGUAGAAUUCCAGGUGUAGCGGUGAAAUGCGUAGAGAUCUGGAGGAAUACCGAUGGCGAAGGCAGCCAUCUGGCCUAAUACUGACGCUGAGGUACGAAAGCAUGGGGAGCAAACAGGAUUAGAUACCCUGGUAGUCCAUGCCGUAAACGAUGUCUACUAGCCGUUGGGGCCUUUGAGGCUUUAGUGGCGCAGCUAACGCGAUAAGUAGACCGCCUGGGGAGUA
rnacentral:rRNA from 1 species